CACGGGGGGAGCAAGCGUUGUUCGGAAUCACUGGGCGUAAAGGGCGCGUAGGUGGCCUGUGGAAGUCUGCGGUGAAAGCCCGGCGCUCAACGCCGGGUCGGCCGUGGAUACUCUCGGGCUUGAGCUUACUAGAGGCAGAUGGAAUUCCGGGUGUAGCGGUGGAAUGCGUAGAGAUCCGGAAGAACACCGGUGGCGAAGGCGGUCUGCUGGGGUAAUGCUGACACUGAGGCGCGACAGCGUGGGGAGCAAACAGG
rnacentral:rRNA from 1 species